AUACUUUCCUAUAUGAUUCCCUUGAAUAUGAUUUGGAACAAACUUCCUAAGUCAUAUUCAUUUGCUUUGACCAAAGACUUUAGAAUCAUAUCUUAGAGUAUUCUCCCUCCACCAUGGAAGGUUAGAGAUCCCUUGUUGUGCAUUCAUAUGCCUACAUGACUAGAUAGCUGGACCCCAACAAUGCCGUGGACACUCCAAAGGAAUGCCGUUGACAGGAUCAAAGAUCAAGGACCUAAUCAUUAG
rnacentral:lncRNA from 1 species